CGGACCAAAACUCACUUCACUACCACCGGGCGGAGACGAGCGAGCGAGCGAGCGAGAGAGAGAGAGCGACGAUGGGGGAAUCGAAGACCGUCCAUUCGUCGUUGGUCACCUACAUUUCCAUGAUCUCCCUCCUCACCCUCUGUCCUCCCUUCGUCAUCCUACUAUGGUAUACAAUGGUUCAUGCUGAUGGCUCUGUGCUGCAAACUUAUGAGUAUCUGAAGCAACAUGGACUGCAGGGCUUUAAGAAUAUCUGGCCGCUGCCAUCCCCCUGUGGCAUGGAAAAUCAUCGGUUGCUUUGGUGCAUUUGAAGCUUUUCUUCAGCUUGCACUGCCUGGGAAAAGAGUUGAGGGUCCGGUUUCUCCAUUAGGGAACAUACCUGUCUACAAGGCAAAUGGUUUGCAAGCUUAUGCAGUGACUUUAAUAACUUAUGUCAGCCUUUGGUGGU